UAGGGAAUCUUCCGCAAUGGACGCAAGUCUGACGGAGCAACGCCGCGUGAGUGAAGAAGGAUUUCGGUUCGUAAAACUCUGUUGUUAGAGAAGAACAGCGCAUAGAGUAACUGUUAUGCGUGUGACGGUAUCUAACCAGAAAGCCACGGCUAACUACGUGCCAGCAGCCGCGGUAAUACGUAGGUGGCAAGCGUUGUCCGGAUUUAUUGGGCGUAAAGCGAGCGCAGGCGGUCAAUUAAGUCUGAUGUGAAAGCCCCCGGCUCAACCGGGGAGGGUCAUUGGAAACUGGUUGACGUGAGUGCAGAAGAGGAGAGUGGAAUUCCAUGUGUAGCGGUGAAAUGCGUAGAUAUAUGGAGGAAAACCAGUGGCGAAGGCGACUCUCUGGUCUGUAACUGACGCUGAGGCUCGAAAGCGUGGGUAGCAAACAGG
rnacentral:rRNA from 1 species